GGCGAUGCUUAGAGACCCCUCUUCCCACCGCCCCCACCUUCGCAAAUAGUGCUGUUGUAAUAAGCAUUCGGAGAGAGAUAUGUGAUGGUAAGGGCCAUAACAGUUGUCAGUUAAAGAGAUUUAGCUUCAGACCCACAGAAGAGAGAAACAACAGUUAAAGCAUGUCAUCCUGGUCUUACUAUGUUUCUGAAUCAUUCCAAAAUUAUUCAUUCAUCUCUUCAGGCAUGCAUGCAUCAGAGAAGAGCAGAGAAGAGCAGAG